UUAUAGUUGCCGACCACAAGUUCACUCUCACUACUACACUCUAAUGGAUUACACUUCUAAUGGAGUCGCAAUCACAUCAACUGGGACUAAGAAAGGCGAAUUGCUCUUGGCUGAUGUAACACUCAGCUGAAGAACAAGAACAUCACAACUGAUGUGAAGGUCGACACUAAAUCGAAUCUUUUCUCCACUGUUACUGUUGAUGAACCUGAACCAGUAUUGAAGACCAUCUUUAGUUUUGUUGUUCCUGAUCAAACG